rnacentral:rRNA from 1 species
GGUGUAAAUAGCCGCAGUAUCUUGACUGUGCUAAGGUAGCAUGAUAAUUUGUUCUUUAAUUAAGAGCUAGUAUGAAGGAGUUGACGACACCUAAGCUUUUUAAUUAAUUGGUGGAAUUUAAUAUUUGCUUUAAAAAGAGUAAAUAAUUAAGGGGACGAUAAGACCCUGUAAAACUUAGAUUUAUAUUGUUUUAUAGAAUUUAGUGUUAUAUAAAGCUUAAAAAUUAAGCUGGGGCGGCAGUUAAAAUACAUUAAUAAAGAUAACUUGAUUAAUGAUUUUAAGGAUCUCUAAAGAGUUAGAAUAAGUUACUUCAGGGGUAACAGCACAAUUUUUCCAGAUAGCUCGCAUAGAAGGAAAAGACUUGUGACCUCGAUGUUGAAUUGAGGGGUCUUAUUUAAGUAGAAAUAA